UCUCCGUUGGUGAAUCAGCGGAGGGAUCAUUAUCGAGUUUAUAACUCAUAAACCCUAUGUGAACUUACCACUUGUUGCUUCGGCGCGCGCUUCGGCGCCGCCGAGGACACUUAAACUCUUUGUUUUUAUAAGCAUUUCUGAGUGGCCGAAAGGCAAAAUACAAAUGAAUCAAAACUUUCAACAACGGAUCUCUUGGUUCUG
rnacentral:misc_RNA from 1 species